UGUCUUGAUUUGAAAAGAUGGAUGUCUGCUAGGGAAGGCAAGAGCCUCCCUUGGAGUGGAAAAUGUAAAGCCCUUCCCUCCGAAUUAUUAUAAUUUUGAAAUUAAGGGGCUCUCAGGCAACGAUCUGAGGGUAGGAAUAAGAGUUCUUUACCAGUAUGUACAAUAAAGCAAACAAACAAUAACUGCAGCGCUUACACGAACAGAAGCAGGCCCAGCGAGCCUUCCCCCGGCGCAGUUCCGGGCACGGCCCGCAGGGGCGCUGCUGCUCCCGGCGGAGCGCGGCCUGAGGGAGCACGCGGUAAUGGCGGCUGGGCCCACACGGGAAGGGAUGGCAGAGAGGCUGUGCUUCACAAACUCCCCUGGGGCAGCCGGUCCCGGUGUCCCGGCAGAACUGUGAGGGAUGAGCAGGAAUCCCGGGGGUGGUGGACGAGAGUUGCACGGUAGAAUCUGAAUCAGUCUCCUCACCACCAGCAGGUUAAACCCGCCUCAAGUUCAGCUCAGCAGUGGCAGCAUCCAAAAGGGAUUUCAUGCAGAGUGGCACUGCCACUGCAGUGGUAGCAGCAGUGAGGAACUCUUGAGAAUUAUCAAGCAAUCUGCAAACUGUUACUUGUCUACACUACUGGAAACGUGAAACAGUUUCAGUCAGCUCAGUCUGUGAAGAAAUACAUUCCCAUUGUAAGCAAAAUAAACUUAUCAAAGACUUACUCGCUUACUGACCACAAAUAAAAACCAGAACUAUGUGGAGAUGGUCUUGAAAGUCAUCACACUAAAAAGCUGUACAAAAUAAAGGGUCUUUUUGAAA